GCUGAAAUUGCUCAGUUGGGAGAGCGUUAAAUUGAAGAUCUAAAGGUCCCUGGUUCGAUCCUGGGUUUCGGCA
rfam:Danio rerio chromosome 4, GRCz11 reference primary assembly.